GAUGAACGCUGGCGGCGUGCCUAAUACAUGCAAGUCGAGCGAACGGACGAGAAGCUUGCUUCUCUGAUGUUAGCGGCGGACGGGUGAGUAACACGUGGAUAACCUACCUAUAAGACUGGGAUAACUUCGGGAAACCGUAGCUAAUACCGGAUAAUAUUUUGAACCGCAUGGUUCAAAAGUGAAAGACGGUCUUGCUGUCACUUAUAGAUGGAUCCGCGCUGCAUUAGCUAGUUGGUAAGGUAACGGCUUACCAAGGCAACGAUGCAUAGCCGACCUGAGAGGGUGAUCGGCCACACUGGAACGGAGACACGGUCCAGACUCCUACGGGAGGCAGCAGUAGGGAAUCUUCCGCAAUGGGCGAAAGCCUGACGGAGCAACGCCGCGUGAGUGAUGAAGGUCUUCGGAGCGUAAAACUCUGUUAUUAGGGAAGAACAUAUGUGGAAGUAACUGUGCACAUCUUGACGGUACCUAAUCAGAAAGCCACGGCUAACUACGUG
rnacentral:rRNA from 1 species